CGAAGGUAGCGUAAUCACUUGUUCUUUAAAUGUGGACUAGUAUGAAUGGCACCACGAAGGUUAUACUGUCUCCUUUUUCUAAUCAGUGAAACUAAUCUCCCCGUGAAGAAGCGGGAAUAAAGUUAUAAGACGAGAAGACCCUAUGGAGCUUAAAACAAUAUAGCACUUGCCACAUAGUAUAAAAAUUUCCGAAAUUUUAAUUUAUAUUGACAAUUUGACUAUAAGUUUUUGGUUGGGGUGACCGCGGAGAAUAGCACAACCUCCAUGAUGAAUGAACUGUUUCUAAACUAAGACCUACCGGUCUAAGUAUCAACAUAUUGACAUCCAUUGAUCCAAUAUAAUUGAACAACGAACCAAGUUACCCUAGGGAUAACAGCGCAAUCUACUUCAAGAGCUCCUAUCGACAAGUAGGUUUACGACCUCGAUGUUGGAUCAGGGUAUCCCAGUGGUGCAGCCGCUACUAAAGGUUCGUUUGUUCAACGAUUAAAAC
rnacentral:rRNA from 1 species